GGUUUAUUAGCUCAGUGGGUUAGAGCAUGGUGCUGAUAACACCAAGGUCCUGUGUUCAAUCCCCCUAUGGGCCA
rnacentral:tRNA from 1 species